GGGUGAGUGGUGGAAUCGGAAGACACAAGGGACUUAAAAUCCCUUGCCCCACAAGGGCGUGCGGGUUCGAGUCCCGCCUCACCCA
rnacentral:tRNA from 2 species